AUGAUCUCCUCAUCUCUCUGGUUGUUGCUGCUGCUGGCAGCUGUUUCUUGUGUCCACUGUGUUGAACUGACCCAGACUGAUUCUCUUGUCUUAAGUCCUGGUCAGGUUUUGACACUGUCCUGUAAAAUCUCUGGAUAUUCACUGACUGACAGCAGCUAUUACACACACUGGAUACGACAACCUGCAGGAAAAGCUCUGGAAUGGGUUGCAGCGAUAUGUGGUGGUGGUGACAUGUAUUACAGUGAUAAACUGAAAAGUAUUGAUUCAUAUGAAUUCACUCAGCCUGAGUCUCUGACUGUUCGUCCUGAUGCCACUCUCACUAUCAACUGUAAAGUCUCUUAUUCAGUUACAAGUGAGGAUACAGCCUGGAUUCGUCAGCCUGCAGGAAAAGCUCUGGAGUGGAUUGGAUUGAUCUGGAGUGAUGGAAGGUUAUUCUACAAGGAUUCCCUGAAAAGCAAGUUCACUAUCACCAGAGACACUUCCA